rnacentral:rRNA from 1 species
GACGAACGCUGGCGGCGUGCUUAACACAUGCAAGUCGAACGGUGAAGGGGUCUGCUUUUGUGGGCCCUGGAUGAGUGGCGAACGGGUGAGUAACACGUGAGUAACCUGCCCCCUUCUUCUGGAUAACCGCAUGAAAGUGUGGCUAAUACGGGAUAUUCUGGGUCUGUCGCAUGAUGGGUCUGGGAAAGAUUGCGCCUUUGGGUGUUUUUGGUGGGGGAUGGGCUCGCGGCCUAUCAGCUUGUUGGUGGGGUGAUGGCCUACCAAGGCGGUGACGGGUAGCCGGCGUGAGAGGGUGGACGGUCACACUGGGACUGAGACACGGCCCAGACUCCUACGGGAGGCAGCAGUGGGGAAUAUUGCACAAUGGGCGCAAGCCUGAUGCAGCGACGCCGCGUGAGGGAUGGAGGCCUUCGGGGUGUAAACCUCUUUCGCCAGUGAAGCAGGCCUGCUCCUUGUGGGUGGGUUGACGGUAGCUGGAUAAGAAGCGCCGGCUAACUACGCG